AGAUUAAGCUACGAAGAGCAUAUGGUGGAUGCCUAGGCAUCAGACGCCGAAGAAGGACGCGAUAAGCUGCGAUAAGCUAUGGGUAGCUGCAAAUGAGCGUUGAUCCAUAGAUUUCCGAAUGUGGG
rnacentral:rRNA from 1 species